rnacentral:rRNA from 1 species
AACGAACGCUGGCGGCAUGCCUAACACAUGCAAGUCGAACGAGACCUUCGGGUCCUGUGGCGCACGGGUUCAUCACCGGACGGAAGAGUCCCUCAUGGUCGGACUAACUCUCAGAAAGGGGUAACAAUAGCGGACAAUGGCUUCUACCGCAUGAUAUAUUGACUCUGGAGGUUCACGCGUUGGAUAAGCUAGUGCGUAGGGUAAAAGCCUACCAAGGCGACGAUCCAUAGCUGGUCUGAGAGGAGGAUCAGCAACACUGGGGCUGAGACACGGCCCAGACUCCUACGGAAGGCAGCAGUGGGGAAUAGUGGACAAUGGGCGAAAGGCUGAUCCAGCAAUGCCGCGUGAGUGAUGAAGGCCUGAAGGUUGUAAAGCUCUUUUAACCGGGAUGAUAAUGACAGUACCGGGAGAAUAAGCGACGGCUAACUACGUG